rnacentral:rRNA from 1 species
GAACGCUCGUAGCAAUACGGGAGUGGCAGACGGGUGAGUAACGCGUGGGAACCUUCCCAGUGGUACGGAAUAGCUCAGGGAAACUUGGGGUAAUACCGUAUAAGCCCUUCGGGGGAAAGAUUUAUCGCCAUUGGAUGGGCCCGCGUCGGAUUAGCUAGUUGGUGGGGUAAUGGCUCACCAAGGCGACGAUCCGUAGCUGGUCUGAGAGGAUGAUCAGCCACACUGGGACUGAGACACGGCCCAGACUCCUACGGGAGGCAGCAGUGGGGAAUAUUGGACAAUGGGCGCAAGCCUGAUCCAGCCAUGCCGCGUGAGUGACGAAGGCCUUAGGGUUGUAAAGCUCUUUUGGCGGGGAAGAUAAUGACGGUACCCGCAGAAUAAGCUCCGGCUAACUUCGUG